GCGGCGGACGGGUGAGUAACACGUGGGCAACCUGCCCUGUAGAUUGGGAUAAUCCGGGAAACCGGGGCUAAUACCGAAUAAUCCACCAGACCACAUGGUCCGGUGUUGAAAGGCGGCUUCGGCUGUCACUACAGGAUGGGCCCGCGGCGCAUUAGCUAGUUGGUGGGGUAACGGCCCACCAAGGCGACGAUGCGUAGCCGACCUGAGAGGGUGAUCGGCCGCACUGGGACUGAGACACGGCCCAGACUCCUACGGGAGGCAGCAGUAGGGAAUCUUCCACAAUGGACGAAAGUCUGAUGGAGCAACGCCGCGUGAGUGAAGAAGGUUCUCGGAUCGUAAAC
rnacentral:rRNA from 1 species